rnacentral:rRNA from 1 species
AGUGAACGCUGGCGGUAGGCCUAACACAUGCAAGUCGAACGGCAGCACAGUAAGAGCUUGCUCUUACGGGUGGCGAGUGGCGGACGGGUGAGGAAUACAUCGGAAUCUACUUUUUCGUGGGGGAUAACGUAGGGAAACUUACGCUAAUACCGCAUACGACCUACGGGUGAAAGCAGGGGACCUUCGGACCUUGCGCGAUUGAAUGAGCCGAUGUCGGAUUAGCUAGUUGGCGGGGUAAAGGCCCACCAAGGCGACGAUCCGUAGCUGGUCUGAGAGGGUGAUCAGCCACACUGGAACUGAGACACGGUCCAGACUCCUACGGGAGGCAGCAGUGGGGAAUAUUGGACAAUGGGCGCAAGCCUGAUCCAGCCAUACCGCGUGGGUGAAGAAGGCCUUCGGGUUGUAAAGCCCUUUUGUUGGGAAAGAAAAGCAGCAGGUUAAUACCCCGCUGUUCUGACGGUACCCAAAGAAUAAGCACCGGCUAACUUCGUG